rnacentral:rRNA from 1 species
UGAGUAACGCGUGAGUAACCUGCCUUCAAGAGGGGGAUAACAUUCUGAAAAGGAUGCUAAUACCGCAUGAUAUAUCGGAACCACAUGGUUUUGAUAUCAAAGAUUUUAUCGCUUGAAGAUGGACUCGCGUCCGAUUAGUUUGUUGGUGAGGUAACGGCUCACCAAGACCGCGAUCGGUAGCCGGACUGAGAGGUUGAACGGCCACAUUGGGACUGAGACACGGCCCAGACUCCUACGGGAGGCAGCAUG